rnacentral:rRNA from 1 species
GCUUCCCGCUGACGAGCGGCGGACGGGUGAGUAAUGCAUAGGAAUCUGCCCGGUAGUGGGGGAUAACCUGGGGAAACCCAGGCUAAUACCGCAUACGUCCUACGGGAGAAAGGGGGCUCCGGCUCCCGCUAUCGGAUGAGCCUAUGUCGGAUUAGCUGGUUGGUGGGGUAACGGCCCACCAAGGCGACGAUCCGUAGCUGGUCUGAGAGGAUGAUCAGCCACAUCGGGACUGAGACACGGCCCGAACUCCUACGGGAGGCAGCAGUGGGGAAUAUUGGACAAUGGGGGCAACCCUGAUCCAGCCAUGCCGCGUGUGUGAAGAAGGCCUUCGGGUUGUAAAGCACUUUCAGCGAGGAAGAACGCCUGGCGGUUAAUACCCGCCAGGAAAGACAUCACUCGCAGAAGAAGCACCGGCUAACUCCGUGCCAGCAGCCGCGGUAAUACGGAGGGUGCAAGCGUUAAUCGGAAUUACUGGGCGUAAAGCGCGCGUAGGUGGCUAAAUAAGCCGGUUGUGAAAGCCCCGGGCUCAACCUGGGAACGGCAUCCGGAACUGUUUGGCUAGAGUGCAGGAGAGGAAGGUGGAAUUCCCGGUGUAGCGGUGAAAUGCGUAGAGAUCGGGAGGAAUACCAGUGGCGAAGGCGGCCUUCUGGACUGACACUGACACUGAGGUGCGAAAGCGUGGGUAGCAAACAGGAUUAGAUACCCUGGUAGUCCACGCCGUAAACGAUGUCGACCAGCCGUUGGGUGCCUUGUGCACUUUGUGGCGAAGUUAACGCGAUAAGUCGACCGCCUG